UACGGAGGGAGCUAGCGUUGUUCGGAAUUACUGGGCGUAAAGCGCACGUAGGCGGCUUUGUAAGUUAGGGGUGAAAGCCCGGAGCUCAACUCCGGAAUUGCCUUUAAGACUGCAUCGCUUGAAUCCGGGAGAGGUGAGUGGAAUUCCGAGUGUAGAGGUGAAAUUCGUAGAUAUUCGGAAGAACACCAGUGGCGAAGGCGACUCACUGGACAUGUAUUGACGCUGAUGCGCGAAAGCGUGGGGAGCAAACGGG
rnacentral:rRNA from 1 species